UGCUGUUUCUACGAUCAAUAACAAUCGUUUGAAAAUCUACUUUAAAACGAAAGAAGAAGAUAAGGAAGCCAGUCUAAUCAAUGAAAAAGUCAUACUUUGUACAAUAACACAGUAAUGGUAUUUUUGAAGGAGGGCAUUAAAAAAGGAAUCCAGAAUGCAGUUCGUAUUACUUGAAGCACUUUACAAAAGACACAAAACAGCGACAAAAACAAAACAGCAACGCUGAUCAAGCUUGUUACAAGGAAGAAAUCUCUCGGAAGCGAAUAAGGUCUUUCGUUUACAGCAAUUUAGGUGAACAAGUUUCUAUAGUACCUACUUCAGGAUACGUGAACGCCGAAACAAUUCCAACUUCCUACAAAGUCAACGUACAUCAACGCUAAGAUUGCGAAGGAUCGUUGUUUGUCAAUCAAUGGUGUAGACUCAGCAGCAACUUCGAGAUAUAAUCUUCUUACACGUUGUCAAUACAGUAGGUACUACCGAAGAUAGCCGCAGUACAAGGCAAUGUAGUUACUCUAGUUGCAUUUCCUCAAAUUUUACUUUAGAUGUGGCAAAACAUUGCAAAAAUCUUUAAUGCAAAACUAUGACUUGCUUCUGCAAGACUAAGACCAUUAGCAAAAUUUCAUUUCUGAACAAAAAACCCUAUCAACAUACUGAAUCAAAAUCAGGACCUCUUUAACUUCGCUUUUGCAAAUAUUUUAUACUAUUAACGUACAUAUUUUUAGUCAUAAUACAGUAUUUAUAAACUUAUGCCGAGUUUGACCUCAUUUCGUUGUUUUUGAUAUGUCAGUCACUUUUAGUACCUACUACUGAAACGUUAAUAAUCGGGCUGAUAAGGGUGAAAAUUAUUGAAUGAAAGGACUGCUUUUGAUGUAGAGAGAGCGGUAAAAGUUUUCACACGCCCAUGGAAACUUCGACAGCAGUUCGAAUGAGGAGCUUAAGAUAUUUGACGUAUGAAAGUUGCCGAAGUGGAAAUCUACAAUAAACGACAACAAUUGGUUCAUCUUUGUGAUGUUUCCUCUCUUCGGAUCACAUGAAUGAGUCUAUUCAUAAAUCAAUUACAGAAAUAAUAGGAAUCGAUAUAGAUACAUAGGAUGAGAGGCAGCGCACAGAGGAGUAUUUAAAUAAAACAAUCGGUCAAAAUUAUAAGAUUUUUGUAAUGAAAUAAAAACUAAAUUUUAUUGAUAGACAUGCACAUUCGUUUAAUAAAAACUUAUUUUCAUUGCGGUUCCAGGCUAUCCAAUUAGUCGAUUUCACAAUCAGUUUAAUCAUUAUCUGAAUCUUCUUUUUCAUCAUUGUACAUCUGAGGACUUGGAAGAUUCACUAAAAGCAAGCAGACUUUCGAAAAUGAAUUACCUUUCUUUUGUGAUCUACGUUUAUUACUGUUCGGGAAUUGAUCCGAACUUGGUAAUGAUUUGUGCAAAAUAUUUGUUUUGCAAAGAAUCCGUGAACAGUUUUUAGCAAAAUCGAGCCUAUACUGCCUAAAAUUCUCUUGGUCUCUGUAGCAUCUUUUGAUAACUAACCGAUUUGAAUGACCACUCCACCAUGAAUCAGUAUCUUAUAGAUUGUUGGUGACAUUUCAUACUCAUUGUAUUUUUCAUCAAAACUGAAAAAUACAAUGAGUAUAAAUUGACUCAAUAUGAUAUCCAGGUUAACUUUUAAUCUUUUUAGGUUCCAAUUCAAUGCCGUAAUUUGUGAUGCAAUUUGAACCGGAAAAAAGUAAACUGAUUCGGGUGUAAAGGUCGUCGUCUGUUGGAGUGGCUUCCUGACAUUUAAAUAAAUCUCUAUUUUACAUGUUCUGUUUUAAUUAGAAUGAAUUUUUUAUUUUAUAUUUUUGUGUGGUUUAUUUUAUUUAGGUUAAUUUUUAUUUUAACAAAUUUCUUCUUGUGAUAUAGAGUUGCUCUUAGAUGAUAUCCUUGCAUUUGAUGCACAAACUACUUAUCGAUUUAAUGUUUGAGCCAAUCAAACGCAUUUUUAUUUACAAAAAUAAAGCGUACUGAGUUGGUCAAAAAAUUCAUAGAACACAGAUGCUAACAAUGGUUUCCAUUAAAUCAUAAUAAAUGUACAGGGAGAGGGUAAAUCAAAUGGCCACGAAACGUAAGGAAGCAGAACCCCAAUCACGCUUCUUUCUCUUGAGCUUGGAAAGGGAUGCAUUUAAACGUAUGAAAUGAACAGAACAGACAGAAAAUAAGGACUCAAAGCCUGGAGAAGUAGAGCCCUUUAAUUUUCCCUCCCCUUGGGCGUGAAGGUGCAAUUUCCAGAAAAUAUAUGCAUAAAAGGAAGAUUCCGGUGCGAUGUGGCUUAUUCCACUUAUUUCCUUUCAUCAGCAUUUACAAUUAAGAGGCACUUCUCUUUUGUCAGCACUUAGGAAUAAAACUCGAGCACCGUAUAGUGAUCCUCAAGUUCGUCUGACAAAUGGGAGAGAAUUAAAGUUCAGGCUGAUGGUACUGAAACAAUAUCUACAAUGUUUUGGUGGACUACAUUCUUUAUUUGCCGUUUUCGUCUUCACCUUGCAGCAUUAUGCAGUUAAUUUUCAAGUGAUGAGUGAGAGCAACCGAAGACUUAUGUGAAUUCCACUGAAAUAAGAAAUUUUCUGCAUUGGCAUUCCUCUUGGAUUUGAUUUGCUUUUCACAC